GAUGAACGCUGGCGGCGUGCCUAAUACAUGCAAGUCGAGCGAACAGACGAGGAGCUUGCUCCUCUGACGUUAGCGGCGGACGGGUGAGUAACACGUGGAUAACCUACCUAUAAGACUGGGAUAACUUAGGGAAACCGGAGCUAGUACCGGAUAAUAUAUUGAACCGCAUGGUUCAAUAGUGAAGGACGGUUUUGCUGUCACUUAUAGAUGGAUCCGCGCCGCAUUAGCUAGUUGGUAAGGUAACGGCUUACAAAGGCAACGAUGCGUAGCCGACCUGAGAGGGUGAUCGGCCACACUGGAACUGAGACACGGUCCAGACUCCUACGGGAGGCAGCAGUAGGGAAUCUUCCGCAAUGGGCGAAAGCCUGACGGAGCAACGCCGCGUGAGUGAUGAAGGUCUUCGGAUCGUAAAACUCUGUUAUUAGGGAAGAACAAAUGUGUAAGUAACUAUGCACGUCUUGACGGUACCUAAUCAGAAAGCCACGGCUAACUCCGUG
rnacentral:rRNA from 1 species